CGCGGCCUAUCAGCUUGUUGGUGGGGUAAUGGCCUACCAAGGCGUCGACGGGUAGCUGGUUUGAGAGAACGAUCAGCCACACUGGGACUGAGACACGGCCCAGACUCCUACGGGAGGCAGCAGUGGGGAAUCUUGCGCAAUGGGCGAAAGCCUGACGCAGCAACGCCGCGUGCGGGAUGACGGCCUUCGUGGUUGUAAACCGCUUUCAGCAGGGACGAAAAUGACGGUACCUGCAGAAGAAGCCCCGGCUAACUACGUGCCAGCAGCCGCGGUAAUACAUAGGGGGCAAGCGUUGUCCGGAUUCAUUGGGCGUAAAGAGCUCGUAGGCGGUUCAGUAAGUCGGGUGUGAAAGCUCCGAGCUCAACUCGGAGAGGCCACCCGAUACUGCUGUGACUUGAGUCCAGUAGAGGAGCGUGGAACUCCUGGUGUAGCGGUGGAAUGCGCAGAUAUCAGGAAGAACACCUGCAGCGAAGGCGGCGCUCUGGGCUGGAACUGACGCUGAGGAGCGAAAGCGUGGGUAGCAAACAGGAUUAGAUACCCUGGUAGUCCACGCCGUAAACGUUGGGCACUAGGUGUGGGGAGCCGUCAACGCUCUCUGUGCCGUAGCUAACGCAUUAAGUGCCCCGCCUGGGGAGUACGGA
rnacentral:rRNA from 1 species